rnacentral:rRNA from 1 species
AAGAAGGCCCUAGGGUUGUAAAGCACUUUCAAUUGGGAGGAAAACCUGCCGGUCAAUACCCGGUAGCUUGACAUUACCUUUAGAAGAAGCACCGGCUAACUCCGUGC